GUAGCUCAGUUGGUAGAGCAUGAGACUCUUAAUCUCCUGGUCGUGAGUUCCGACAUUGCAGGGAAUCUGACUACA